GACGUAGGGCGCGAGCGUUGUCCGGAUUUAUUGGGCGUAAAGAGCUCGUAGGCGGCUUGUCGCGUCGUUCGUGAAAACCCGGGGCUCAACUCCGGGCUUGCGGGCGAUACGGGCAGGCUAGAGUUCGGUAGGGGAGACUGGAAUUCCUGGUGUAGCGGUGGAAUGCGCAGAUAUCAGGAGGAACACCUAAGGCGAAGGCAGCUCGCUGGAACGGUACUGACGCUGAGACGCGAAAGCGUGGGGAGCGAACAGG
rnacentral:rRNA from 1 species